rnacentral:lncRNA from 1 species
ACUCAUUGAUUUUAAAAGUCUCAAGAUUUUCCUCUCUGGGAAACACAGGUGAAUUCAAGGUGCUUUGGGGGAGAUGGAAGACCAUACUCAUAGUCUUAUAUCACUAAGGUAAGUUAUCAAAACACCCCCCAAGUAUAGUAUAUAAAGUUAGUGUCUACACAUUUUGUAAAGCAAAAGCUGUUUUAAGAACCAUACUUCUUGGAUCUUUCUUGAUUAUAGUGUUUAUCACUAAACGAUACGUAUUAGCUUUGCAAAGCAAGAUGAUAUAUAUUCACUUACGUGUAGAGAGUCUUAUGAUACUUCAAUCUACUCUCUUGCUAAAUAUAUGCCAAUAUAAGCACUUAUAUAAGAUAUUUUCUUUUAACGAUCCAAAUGAUCUCAAAUUCUAGAUAUUAUUAUUCCUAUGGAUGGUUCUGUUUCUGAGAUGUCAUGGUUUUGGUUUUCAAGGUAGGGGCGAAACUUCUUCUCAAGAAGGAAAACUUUAAACAGAGAAAGAAUCAUAAUAAUUUUGAGUCUUUUGGCACAAUAUAUCCUAGAGAUAAUAGAUUGCAAGUUGCCAUAAAAUUCUGCUAGUAGACAUUGCACUACCGAUAUUCUCAUCGUCACGAUUCUUGAAAACCGACCCUCUUUGCCUAGGUAUUGAAAUGGUAAAACUUUCCCCACCUUGAGGUAAGUCUUGGUAAAAUCUUUAGCUGUGAAAAGGAUAAUCAAGAGUUCAUCAUAAGAUUAAUUGGUUGUUUAUUAGUUAUAAGAAGAUGCUUUGGUUUUUACUUUCUCACUAUGAUGGUAACAUCAGUAAAGGCUUCAUGGUUUGAUUCCAAUAUAUACAGGUCUUGAUUCUAGCCAUCAUUGAUGAGAAUUUUACCAGGAGUAGCUUACAAGGAAUCUGAAUGAAAAAGGAAGGUAAAGAGUAAAGCAUUAUAUAUUUUUGCAUGUUACAUAAUUUUCUGUUGAUAUUUAGAAUCCUUAUCCCUAAUGAUAUAGCAAGAAAACAAGAAGUAAGUAUUCUGAUUCCUCUCCUAGUGGCUUAGCUCCUUUUGCAACUUGGGAGAAGAACCCGAACCUGAAGUUGAUCACUAUAAUGGAAGUUUCUGUAGCUCAAUAUGUAUUUGAAGGAUUUUUAUUGAGGCUAGUGGUGAGAUAUUAUUAUCACCAAAAGAAUGAUCCUUUUUACAAAUUUGGAUUCGGACAAACUUUACACAAAAGUAGGAAAUGGCAUUUUAUCACCAGGAAUCCAUAAGAGCCAUUCCCAUUUGAGGGAAGAAAAAAGUAUCCACAGACACACACACAAGCCCUGGUCCUAAAUCAGCCAUAGUAGCCUAUAACAGUAGUUAGAGAUACUUCUUUAUUUUUAUUUUUUGGUUGUUUCUUGGAAUAUUAUUUGAGUAAGUUAAAGAAGUAAGGAAAAUUGGGAAUCUCCAUGGUCAGGGGUUUUGAUUGGUUGAUGAGAAUGAGAUCGAAUAUACAAGGACACAAAUAUUUAUAUACAAUGCUUAUGUAAAUCUUUUGAGACAGGGUAAAUGGAAACUAGUAUUAUUCAUAUAACUUGUUGUUCAGGUGAUGAACUUUCUAGCUAGAAUAACUUGUUUCUGUUGCUCAACUAAAAAGCUUGUGUUCUUUUCUUCGGUUUACAAUACUUCUGAAUUGUGUCUCUGAUCAUAUACUAAACAAGAUCUUAAACUCAUUACUACAACUACAAGAUGUAUAAGUCGUGAUCGAAAAUAAAGAAAACAUUAGGACAACAAAGGACUGAAGUAGGC